UAUCUCAUUCAUUAUGUUUCAACCAGUAGACGUUUUGAUUUUGUUGGUAGCAUUACAGAGUAAUCUAACUGUGGAUAAACUGCAUUUAUAACUUACAAGACAGUUUUGUCUUAGGUUCUGCUAAAUUAUUAGUCACAAAUAUGACUAGGUUACCUCUUUUUCCAAGCGUUUUUAAAUUAUGUAUCUGUUUUGCUUUCUGAUUGAUUUAAUCCAGUUGUUUAAGUUAGCUAAAUACAGCUUGAAAAUACUGACUCAUCUUCAUCUUAUCACUGACAAAUGCAUUACUGCCCAAAAUAGCAUGUGCUUAUAACGGCAUUUGAUAGCAUGAAAUUCAGAACAUAUCUAUCAGAAUUCCUGAUAACAAGUGUUGACAAUUUUUAUUGCUUUCUAACAUUUUUCUUAAACAUCUUUUGAAUGUUUGAUUUGCACAGUCUGUUUCAGAGCUCAGUAACAAUGCUGGCACUGGAUCAGGUUAGCUGCUGAUCUGAUUGCCACUACAAUAUUCUGAAGCUGAUUGAGCACUAAAGCAAUUUCAGACUUUUCAG
rnacentral:lncRNA from 1 species